GUCUACUUGACUGGCCACCAAGAUGCAUGCCAGUACAUGCAUCCUCCGAUGGCAGAGACCAGAUAGGUCGCAAAACCAAGCUCUCAAGACAUAGAACAAGAUAAAAGGCCUGGACAACAGGCUUAUAGAGAUGCCUGUGUCUUAUGACAAACAACAAAAAGACAGAGACAAGGAAAAGUACUAUCUCUGGGAGGAAAAGGAUCUACAACCAGCUUGUAACUUCUUCAGAAACUCUUAUUUAGACCAUCCUCAAUUCAUAAGGCUGAAGAAAAAAAGGAAGAAAGAGGCAAACAAGUAUAGAAGCACCCUUGCCCCAAAUCUAGCAUCUGAAGCGUCAUCUCCACAAAUAUUAGUAGAAAAAGCUUUGGCCAUCUAAGCAGACAAUUAUUGUUUUACUCUGAUGCUUUUGCAAAAAUGCUUCAUCUUCAAGAAGAUUCAUAGGAAGGACUUUUUGACAAGUACGGGUUUCUAAUAACUUUCAGAUUAUACCACUGAACUGGGUGCGUGAACCUCAAGAUAUUUUGGGAACCCUGAGAAAAGUGUAAUUCAUCCAAGUAUAUAUAUAUUGCAGAAAUGCUUCUUAUUAAAUACCUGGUUGCUUGCAUCAUAGGCUUAACUUUGGGAUCCCAUCUGUAUCACUGUAUCCUGAAAUUGGAGACCACUGUUGAAUUGGACUAACCUAUUCUUUAAGCCAAGAGACUGGCUCAAGGAGAUGGAGCAACCUACCAACUCAACUUCUGGAAUGUAAAACUUGUCAUGAAGUUUCAAAGGCAGGAGUAAAGGGGUUCAAAACUGCCUCCCCAAGAUAUGCCACUUUGGAAUGUGGACUAUUUUGAGCUAAAGGCAAUCGAGACCCUAAAGUCUCAAGAAAAAUUUUAUACCUUUUUGAAGAAUUUAAAUUGGGAGCUUU
rnacentral:lncRNA from 1 species